GGAUCUUUGGUUUUCAGGACCUAGAAAAUACGCCGGAAGCUCAACACCAUACAGGACAUAAAACCCUAUCCAUAACCAUGCGCUCAUACCACUGCUGACACACUGUAGCAGUAGUUUGUUCCAUCGGCAGAAUGCAUUGCAGCAAACCACCAAGACUCCCUUGGCAGCACCUUCAAUGAUUUCAACAAGAGGGACAAGUGCAGCAAAAACAUGGGAACACCUCCACCUGGAAAUUGGCCUCCAAGCCACACACCAUACCCCUAACUUGGAAGUUUGCCAUUUCUUUGCCGUUACUGGACAAAAAUCCUGGAACUCGCUCCUCAAGAACUGUACAAAAGGAACGGAUUGCAUCUUAACAGGUGGGGGACCAGCAUUCUGGGAGGCAGGUUUGCCACUGCUACACGGGUGGUUUUAAACUGUAUAAGGGGGGUGGGGUGU